UGCCAAGUCUAAUCCCUCUUAUGGUUUUUAUACAGAUCUUACUUUCUGGUGGAGAACAGGACCCAGAAAAUACAAUGGAUGCAAUAGGAACUACGUGCUAUAGCAGAUACACAGAACCGUAAGCGCCCAUUAUAAUCAACGAUGAAGAGGACUCAGGGAGUGAUGCAGCCAGUCUUGAUCUUCCAGAGGAUUCUGAGGUGGAAAAGCUCUCCGCACCAGAAAUAAUUGCAAACCUGGCACUCCAAAUUGACCGCCAUGCUGUAAACAGACUUAAUAUCUGCCGGUCGGACAUCUGGGAUGGAGCCGUCAGAGGAUUCAAAAGGGCAACAUUCUCUGAAAAGAAGGAUCUCCAAGUGAAGUUUUCAGAUGAUGC